rnacentral:rRNA from 1 species
GACGAACGCUGGCGGCGUGCCUAAUACAUGCAAGUCGAACGCUUCUUUCCUCCCGAGUGCUUGCACUCAAUUGGAAAGAGGAGUGGCGGACGGGUGAGUAACACGUGGGUAACCUACCCAUCAGAGGGGGAUAACACUUGGAAACAGGUGCUAAUACCGCAUAACAGUUUAUGCCGCAUGGCAUAAGAGUGAAAGGCGCUUUCGGGUGUCGCUGAUGGAUGGACCCGCGGUGCAUUAGCUAGUUGGUGAGGUAACGGCUCACCAAGGCCACGAUGCAUAGCCGACCUGAGAGGGUGAUCGGCCACACUGGGACUGAGACACGGCCCAGACUCCUACGGGAGGCAGCAGUAGGGAAUCUUCGGCAAUGGACGGAAGUCUGACCGAGCAACGCCGCGUGAGUGAAGAAGGUUUUCGGAUCGUAAUACUCUGUUGUUAGAGAAGAACAAGGACGUUAGUAACUGAACGUCCCCUGACGGUAUCUAACCAGAAAGCCACGGCUAACUACGUG